rnacentral:tRNA from 2 species
ACUGAGAAGUCGUCCGUGCAAAUCGAACCAUUUUGAUACCCAACAGCUAGCCUUUUACUCCAAACUAAACAACCC